GCGAUAGUGGUGAAAUUGGUAAACACGUUACUUUGAGGUGGUAAUGAACAAUAAGUUCUCGCGGGUUCAAAUCCCGCCUAUCGCA
rnacentral:tRNA from 1 species